rnacentral:miRNA from 1 species
UUUCAAGAUGCAUGGUAAGGCU